GAUUUCAUACAUGAUCUUCAUCACAUCACUUUGGAUUUGAUUCAACACCAGAGGAAGAGGGGACAUAAUAAAUCUGAUCCAAAGCCACAGAAGUUAAAUGAAAAAUUCAGCAUUAGGACAGAUUAUAGAUUAUUAUUUAACUUUAUUACUAUUUUUGUAAUGCUACAAAUUGUUCCCAAAUAAUUUGCUUGAACAAUUUUGUUAUUCCAUGUAAAGUAAUUGGAUUUUCCUAUCUUGUCACUUAGUAAAUCAACGAGAAUUAGACAUUGUUUUGAUGAUAAUUAUUUUGAUGGAAUGAUACUGUUAACACAUUUUAUGAAUACUUCUUUGAAUUUUACACUUAAUGUCAUCAAAAAUUAAUGGCAGUGAAGCUUGUCUCAGUAUUUGCAGAAAUGACACAAGAACUGAAUAUUUCUCAAUCCAGAGCAUAUUAAAACUAGCAUGAAUGAAGAACAGACAGCUCAGGACUAUUCUUCUGAGUAAAGUUACUCUCACAUUAGCUCUUGUUUCAGAACAGCAAGUGCAAGUAUCUCUCUUGCAAACAAUUUGAUUCUUGAAUGCAUGUUACAAAUUAUGAAUAAAACUUAGUAAAGAUCAUAUAUUUUCAAACAAAAUAUGUAGAAAAUAUGUAGAAAAAAGCAUUUUAAUUUUAGCAAGUUGAUGUCUUUAUAAUAAUGUCUUUAUAAUGUCUUUAUAAUGGAUGUAUGAGUGUUAUUAUAUCUAGAGUAGAUACAGAAAAGUAAAAAUAUAGACACAGAAAUUACAGUAUGGUUUGAUAUUAUAAGAUUAAUAACCUGGGAAUGACAGAAAUGCUCAUUAUUUAGAAAUAGCCAGGUGAAUUCAUAGAAUAAAAUUUUCUAUGCUAUAUUCCUGAUGUGAGUGAAAAGAAAAAUGCAGUGAUUUCAAUUGCAAUACAUCUAUUGAGCUCACUUGUUUCAGGAUCAAGACCUAAAUAGCAAAACUGUAAUUUAAAAAAGGAUGUGAGAGGGGAUUUUUUGCUUCAUUUGGGUUGCUAAAUAGAGCAGUCAAGAGGAAAACAAGUGAC
rnacentral:lncRNA from 7 species